rnacentral:rRNA from 1 species
UACGUAGGGUGCGAGCGUUAAUCGGAAUUACUGGGCGUAAAGCGUGCGCAGGCGGUUUUGUAAGCCAGAUGUGAAAGCCCCGGGCUUAACCCUGGGAAUGGCAUUUGGGACUGCAAGGCUGGAGUGUGGCAGAGGAGACGUGGAAUUCCUGGUGUAGCAGUGAAAUGCGUAGAUAUCAGGAGGAACACCGAUGGCGAAGGCAGGUCUCUGGGCUGACACUGACGCUCAUGCACGAAAGCGUGGGGAGC